rnacentral:rRNA from 1 species
UACGUAGGGUGCAAGCGUUAAUCGGAAUUACUGGGCGUAAAGCGUGCGCAGGCGGCUUUGCAAGACAGAUGUGAAAUCCCCGGGCUCAACCUGGGAACUGCAUUUGUGACUGCAUGGCUGGAGUGCGGCAGAGGGGGAUGGAAUUCCGCGUGUAGCAGUGAAAUGCGUAGAUAUGCGGAGGAACACCGAUGGCGAAGGCAAUCCCCUGGGCCUGCACUGACGCUCAUGCACGAAGCGUGGGAGCAAACAGG